GCCCGGCUGGCGCAAUCGGUUAGCGCAUCAGACUUUUAAUCUGAGGGUUGCGAGUUCGAGUCUCGCGUUGGGCG